rnacentral:tRNA from 1 species
GCGGGUGUAGUUCAAUGGUAGAAUUCCAGCCUUCCAAGCUGAUUACGAGUGUUCGAUUCCCUUCACCCGCUCCA